GGAGCAUGUGGUUUAAUUCGAAGCAACGCGAAGAACCUUACCAGGUCUUGACAUCCUCUGAAAACCCUAGAGAUAGGGCGUUCCCCUUCGGGGGACAGAGUGACAGGUGGUGCAUGGUUGUCGUCAGCUCGUGUCGUGAGAUGUUGGGUUAAGUCCCGCAACGAGCGCAACCCUUGUCCUUAGUUGCCAGCAUUCAGUUGGGCACUCUAGGGAGACUGCCGGUGACAAACCGGAGGAAGGUGGGGAUGACGUCAAAUCAUCAUGCCCCUUAUGACCUGGGCUACACACGUGCUAC
rfam:Bacillus sp. FJAT-27916 Scaffold1, whole genome shotgun sequence.